GUGGGGAAUUUUGGACAAUGGGCGCAAGCCUGAUCCAGCAAUGCCGCGUGCAGGAAGAAGGCCUUCGGGUUGUAAACUGCUUUUGUACGGAACGAAAAGGCUCUGGUUAAUACCUGGGGCUCAUGACGGUACCGUAAGAAUAAGCACCGGCUAACUACGUGCCAGCAGCCGCGGUAAUACGUAGGGUGCAAGCGUUAAUCGGAAUUACUGGGCGUAAAGCGUGCGCAGGCGGUUUUGUAAGACAGAGGUGAAAUCCCCGGGCUCAACCUGGGAAUUGCCUGUGUGACUGCAAGGCUGGAGUGCGGCAGAGGGGGAUGGAAUUCCGCGUGUAGCAGUGAAAUGCGUAGAUAUGCGGAGGAACACCGAUGGCGAAGGCAAUCCCCUGGGCCUGCACUGACGCUCAUGCACGAAAGCGUGGGGAGCAAACAGGAUUAGAUACCCUUGUAGUCC
rnacentral:rRNA from 1 species